CUACGGGAGGCAGCAGUGGGGAAUCUUGCGCAAUGGCCGAAAGGCUGACGCAGCGACGCCGCGUGGAGGAUGACGCCCUUCGGGGUGUAAACUCCUGUUGCCCGGGACGAAUACCUGUUUCGACAGGGGUGACGGUACCGGGUGAGGAAGCACCGGCUAACUCUGUGCCAGCAGCCGCGGUAAUACAGAGGGUGCGAGCGUUGUCCGGAAUCACUGGGCGUAAAGGGCGCGUAGGUGGCGCGGUAAGCGUGUGGUGAAAGUCCGGGGCUCAACCCCGGAUCGGCCAUGCGAACUGCCGCGCUGGAGCACGGUAGAGGCACAUGGAAUUCCGGGUGUAGCGGUGGAAUGCGUAGAGAUCCGGAAGAACACCGGUGGCGAAGGCGGUGUGCUGGGCCGUUGCUGACACUGAGGCGCGACAGCGUGGGGAGCAGACAGGAUUAGAAACCCCAGUAGUCC
rnacentral:rRNA from 1 species